UUCCUGGUGGUCCAGUGGCUAAGACUCUGCACUUCCAAGGCUGGGGGCCCUGGUUCGACCCCUGGUCAGGGAA
rnacentral:tRNA from 1 species